rnacentral:rRNA from 1 species
UACGUAGGGCGCGAGCGUUGUCCGGAUUUAUUGGGCGUAAAGAGCUCGUAGGCGGCUUGUCGCGUCGACCGUGAAAACUUGGGGCUCAACCCCAGGCCUGCGGUCGAUACGGGCAGGCUCGAGUUCGGUAGGGGAGACUGGAAUUCCUGGUGUAGCGGUGAAAUGCGCAGAUAUCAGGAGGAACACCGGUGGCGAAGGCGGUUCUCUGGGCCUUACCUGACACUGAGGAGCGAAAGCGUGGGGAGCGAACAGG